GUGAUUUGGCACUGCCUUCUGCUUGGCCCAUCUGCUGUUAUUUUUUUUCUCCUACUGGCAGAACGUUAGACAAUAUUUCAACUUAGCAUCUCAUAGGCAGUUAAACAACGGACAAGAGUGGGCUGGAGAAGAGGAAAUGAUACCAUGUUCUUUUAAGAAAAAAGAGGAAAAAGCCCACAAGAUGAACACUAUGGUGUAUAACCCUGUCAUGUCUUUUUAGCAAUGAACUUUGGAGCCCUGGAAACAAGUAGCCCUAAGUUACAACACUCAAUUUUAAAGUAAGCUUUUCUUCAUGACCCUGGCAAACUCAUCAACUCACUCUCCACCCCCUACCUUCAUGGACUAUCCCACUUUUUAUACAUUCUUUCACUGGCUUGUUUAUUUCCUGACAGGUAGGUGCUAUUUGAUCCUAAAGAAAAAAGAACCAUGGCAAUUUAUUUGGUUGAUUCUUCUGUAAUCCCUAAUUCCUAGUUUAAUUUGCUAAUUUAAUAUAACUUAUGGCCCUAGUUUGUAGAGUUUUCCACUUGUUUUAUACCA
rnacentral:lncRNA from 1 species